ACAUUUGAGAUGAUAGUGUAUGUGUCUUUUAGAGGCAGUGUCAUUCUUGCCUCUUAAUCUCUGCAGCUUUCAGGGAAGUUCAGGAAUAUUCUGGUCUCACUGCUUAAUGUUUAUUUUUUGAGAUAGAGUCUUGCUCUGUCUCUCAGGCUGGAGUGCAGUGGCAUGAUCUUGGCUCACUGCACCUCUGCUUCCUGGGUUCAAGUAAUUCUUGUGCCUCAGCCUCCUGAGUAGUAGGGACUAGCAUGUGCCACCAUGCCCGGCUGAUUUUUCUGUUUUUAGUAGAAACAGGGUUUGGCCAUGAUGGCCAGGCUGGUCUCGAAC
rnacentral:lncRNA from 1 species